rnacentral:rRNA from 1 species
UACGUAGGCAGCAAGCGUUGUUCGGAAUUACUGGGCGUAAAGAGUGUGUAGGCGGUGCUCUAAGUUCGGUGUGAAAUCUCCCGGCUCAACUGGGAGGGUGCGCCGGAAACUGGGGUGCUGGAGCGCAGGAGAGGAAAGCGGAAUUCCUGGUGUAGCGGUGAAAUGCGUAGAUAUCAGGAGGAACACCGGCGGUGUAGACGGCUUUCUGGACCGUAGCUGACGCUGAGACACGAAAGCGUGGGUAGCAAACAGG